rnacentral:rRNA from 1 species
GUACCCUCAAGCUUUGCUUGGUGUUGGGCGUCUUGUCUCUAGCUUUGCUGGAGACUCGCCUUAAAGUAAUUGGCAGCCGGCCUACUGGUUUCGGAGCGCAGCACAAGUCGCACUCUCUAUCAGCAAAGGUCUAGCAUCCAUUAAGCCUUUUUUUCAA